AUUGAACGCUGGCGGCAGGCUUAACACAUGCAAGUCGAGCGGGGUGAUGGUGCUUGCACUAUCACUUAGCGGCGGACGGGUGAGUAAUGCUUAGGAAUCUGCCUAUUAGUGGGGGACAACAUCUCGAAAGGGAUGCUAAUACCGCAUACGUCCUACGGGAGAAAGCAGGGGAUCACUUGUGACCUUGCGCUAAUAGAUGAGCCUAAGUCGGAUUAGCUAGUUGGUGGGGUAAAGGCCGACCAAGGCGACGAUCUGUAGCGGGUCUGAGAGGAUGAUCAGCCACACUGGGACUGAGACACGGCCCAGACUGCUACGGGAGGCAGCAGUGGGGAAUAUUGGACAAGGGGGGGAACCCCGAUCCAGCCAUGCCGGGUGUGUGAAGAAGGCCUUAUGGUUGUAAAGCACUUUAAGCGAGGAGGAGGCUCUUUUGGUUAAUACCCAAGAUGAGUGGACGUUACUCGCAGAAUAAGCACCGGCUAACUCUGUGCCAGCAGCCGCCGUAA
rnacentral:rRNA from 1 species